rnacentral:rRNA from 1 species
CCUACGGGAGGCAGCAGUGAGGAAUAUUGGUCAAUGGGCGCGAGCCUGAACCAGCCAAGUAGCGUGAAGGAUGACUGCCCUACGGGUUGUAAACUUCUUUUAUCAAGGAAUAAUUUGGUGCACGUGUGCCUUUUUGGAUGUACUUUAUGAAUAAGGAUCGGCUAACUCCGUGCCAGCAGCCGCGGUAAUACGGAGGAUCCGAGCGUUAUCCGGAUUUAUUGGGUUUAAAGGGUGCGUAGGCGGCCUUUUAAGUCAGCGGUGAAAGUUUGUGGCUCAACCAUAGAAUUUCAGUUGAAACUGGGAGGCUUGAGUAUGUUAGAGGCAGGCGGAAUGCGUGGUGUAGCGGUGAAAUGCUUAGAUAUCACGAAGAACCCCGAUUGCGAAGGCAGCUCACCGAGCUAUAACUGACACUGAGGCACGAAAGCGUGGGGAUCAAACAGGAUUAGAUACCCUUGUAGUC